rnacentral:miRNA from 1 species
AACUAUAUGAAAAUCUCAAUU